CCGGCGCCUCGCUCCCUUCUGCGCGGCCUUAUCCUCUACUAAGACGCCAGCAGCAGCAUUUAUUUUUUCUCUCUCUCCCGUGCCAUGCACCCUGCUGCACUCUUCUCUGUUCCUCCCUCCACCGCAGCAAGCAAACAUCAGCUCCCUCCAUUCUUUUCCCUCCUCUGCGUGAGCAAUCCAGCAAGCCAAGCGCACCCUUCCUUCUCUGAUAUUCUCUCUCUGUCGGUCACACUCUCUUCUCUCUCACUCCCUGCACACUCACGUACACACACAACACAACAUUAACUCUCACUCGUCUCACCCCAGCACACGUGCACACAGUCUCCCACUCACAUGCACCCUGCUUUCUAUCUCGUCUGAUUUCCUUGUCCACCGCGAGCACCAGGGGAGCUCCCUCUCUCGAUCUCUUAUUUCUUUUACUCCACCAAGAUGUGCAACAGCAGCAGCCACCUUUCCUUCACCGAACAGUAGCUCAAGAAUGCUCUUUUCCUUAUUUGCUUGCUUCUCCAAUCGACGCCACCCGACUGCGCUAGCCGCCGCGCCACCAUGCCCCGUCGCCGGACGUCCUCGCCGCCGGCGGGAGCUGGUCGCCACGCCGCCGGCCAUGGUCCGGCCGUGACCUGUCUUACUGAGCCGGAAUAUGCACUUAUCGUUCACGAAGUUGCGGUUGAUCAAUCUGGAGUUCACCCAGGUGGAAUCGCCAUGGAUCAAGCUCGGCGUCAAGCAAACUAACUUAACCUGCAAUUAAGGCAAGCACCGGUGCACAUCCUAUUAUUUGAAAUUAUGACACACAUAUAUAUGUAUUUAUUACUUGUGCAUUACGUUUCAGGAGUUGAUUGGAACCCUAGUUGCAUGAUCCCUAGGUUUCCCUGAAUUAUACUAGCAUGUAUAGGACGAUAGAAAUGCUAUGCUUAAUACUUCUCGAUAGAAGUCGAGUGACUUUUUGCACUCGCGAGAUAUAGGAUACUUAGAAGUCGAGUAAUUUCCGGUUAAUAGCGAGAUAUAUGUUAUAUACUUAUAUACA